rnacentral:rRNA from 1 species
UACGUAGGGUGCGAGCGUUAAUCGGAAUUACUGGGCGUAAAGCGUGCGCAGGCGGUUUGCUGUGUCCUGUGUGAAAGCCCCGGGCUUAACCUGGGAAUGGCAUGGGAAACUGGCGGGCUGGAGUGUGGCAGAGGGGGGUGGAAUUCCGCGUGUAGCAGUGAAGUGCGUAGAGAUGCGGAGGAACACCGAUGGCGAAGGCAGCCCCCUGGGCUAAAACUGACGCUCAGGCACGAAAGCGUGGGGAGCAAACAGG